rnacentral:lncRNA from 1 species
ACUUGAGCUUUUCAUGAUUUUUCUAGGUCCUAAACACAUUAAGGUACUAGCCAAAAAUGAAGACUAAGCCUUAGGAAGAGUUUGAAGUGGUUUUGGCACUUAAUCUUGGAGUUUACGGCCUAAGGAGCAUCUUGGCCGUAAACUCCCUUCCAAAGUUGGUUUCUAAUUGUUUUGUGGGUCUAAAUCAUGAGUUUAAGGCUUCUAGGUUCUUGUUCUAAGGCUAAAGGAACACUAGGCACUCAUUUGUGCCCUUUACUUGGAGUUUACGGCCCAAGAGGUUGUUCCUUGGCCGUAAACUCCUCAAACUACUUGCUUUUGAUUUGUUUCUAGCCUCUAAUGAUCAUACACUAAGUCCUUAGUUAGAUGCCUAACACGGAAAUGGGACUAGGUGGCCUUUAGGCUUGAUUUUGGAGUUUACUCCCCAAGAACGUUCUUGGGCGGUAAACUCCCGGAUCUUGUGUUUUGGACAUGUAAACAAUGUUAUAAAGCAUAUAACAAGUAUUAAAACACAUUUAGGGAAGUAGACUCACAAUCUGGGAUGAAAACCCGAAGAUCCGUGAGAGAGUAUUUGGCUUUUCUCUAAAUGGAAAUCAAAUAAUGAACCAAUUUGGUUCAGAAUUCUAUUUAUAGUCCAGAGAUUUUUGGCAGAAAAUAUUUCUAUUCUCGGAAUGGAUUCUAAUGACCUAGAGUAAUGGAAUUACAGUGUUGCACAAAAUCCUAGUGCACCCACUCUCCUAAUAACUCCUUAGGUGUAAAACCCUAAAACUGCCAAACUUAUUCCAAAAGUUUGAAUUUUCACUGAAACUGCUCUACUUCCAUUGGAUUGAUGUGGUUUGAUUUGAAUGGAAAAUUUCGGGUUGUCACAGUUAAGGGGUAUGAACUCACCUGCAGUAUGUGACUGGAAUUGAACGGGCUGUUAUCGUACGGAAGGAUCAGACAAGUGCUUGGUGUCAAGUGAAGACUUAGACACACACAAUGAUCCUAAUUACAUAUGAAACAUAUGUAUAUAAAUAAUUAGUGAUUAUAACACUAAUUAUACAAGUAAUAACAUUUAAGCGCGAGGACAACACUUUUGGUCAAGUGCUAGGAGGCUAAUGGGUUGCAACAAAGAAGUGCAAUGCCCCUAAUGAAAGUUUAAGGUCAAAAGACCAUAUUCAUUAGAGUUUACGGCCCAGGGGAGUAAGCUCCUGGCCGUAAACUCUCAAACAAGUCAUGAAAUGGAGUUUAAAAGUACUACAACCUUAGAGGGGAAUUGUUUCAAGGCUAUACAAGUGUUUGGGCACCACAUUGACUCCUUUGGGGAGUUUACGGCCCAAAGACCCUUCUCCCUUGGAGUUUACGGCCGUAAACUCCCUUGGGAGGGUUCUUAUUGUCCUUUCAAGUCUCUAACAUUUCUAGGAACAAGUCUAGGCUUCAAUACUUGGAUCAAGGGAGGUUUAUGGCAUUAAAUGGAACCAUUUGAUGGAGUUUACGGCCAUAGAACUCUUUGGGCCGUAAACUCCCUCACACAUGAGGUUCUAAGAAUUUUAACUAGCCCAAAACUCAUCUAGGUACUUGCCCUAAAAGUCUCUUGGCCUAAGGAAGUGUCUAGGGUGUCCUUUGACCCCUUUAAAGGAGUUUACGGCCCAAGAAAUACUCUUGGCCGUAAACUCUUCAACACUUGAGCUUUUCAUGAUUUUUCUAGGUCCUAAACACAUUAAGGUACUAGCCAAAAAUGAAGACUAAGCCUUAGGAAGAGUUUGAAGUGGUUUUGGCACUUAAUCUUGGAGUUUACGGCCUAAGGAGCAUCUUGGCCGUAAACUCCCUUCCAAAGUUGGUUUCUAAUUGUUUUGUGGGUCUAAAUCAUGAGUUUAAGGCUUCUAGGUUCUUGUUCUAAGGCUAAAGGAACACUAGGCACUCAUUUGUGCCCUUUACUUGGAGUUUACGGCCCAAGAGGUUGUUCCUUGGCCGUAAACUCCUCAAACUACUUGCUUUUGAUUUGUUUCUAGCCUCUAAUGAUCAUACACUAAGUCCUUAGUUAGAUGCCUAACACGGAAAUGGGACUAGGUGGCCUUUAGGCUUGAUUUUGGAGUUUACUCCCCAAGAACGUUCUUGGGCGGUAAACUCCCGGAUCUUGUGUUUUGGACAUGUAAACAAUGUUAUAAAGCAUAUAACAAGUAUUAAAACACAUUUAGGGAAGUAGACUCACAAUCUGGGAUGAAAACCCGAAGAUCCGUGAGAGAGUAUUUGGCUUUUCUCUAAAUGGAAAUCAAAUAAUGAACCAAUUUGGUUCAGAAUUCUAUUUAUAGUCCAGAGAUUUUUGGCAGAAAAUAUUUCUAUUCUCGGAAUGGAUUCUAAUGACCUAGAGUAAUGGAAUUACAGUGUUGCACAAAAUCCUAGUGCACCCACUCUCCUAAUAACUCCUUAGGUGUAAAACCCUAAAACUGCCAAACUUAUUCCAAAAGUUUGAAUUUUCACUGAAACUGCUCUACUUCCAUUGGAUUGAUGUGGUUUGAUUUGAAUGGAAAAUUUCGGGUUGUCACAGUUAAGGGGUAUGAACUCACCUGCAGUAUGUGACUGGAAUUGAACGGGCUGUUAUCGUACGGAAGGAUCAGACAAGUGCUUGGUGUCAAGUGAAGACUUAGACACACACAAUGAUCCUAAUUACAUAUGAAACAUAUGUAUAUAAAUAAUUAGUGAUUAUAACACUAAUUAUACAAGUAAUAACAUUUAAGCGCGAGGACAACACUUUUGGUCAAGUGCUAGGAGGCUAAUGGGUUGCAACAAAGAAGUGCAAUGCCCCUAAUGAAAGUUUAAGGUCAAAAGACCAUAUUCAUUAGAGUUUACGGCCCAGGGGAGUAAGCUCCUGGCCGUAAACUCUCAAACAAGUCAUGAAAUGGAGUUUAAAAGUACUACAACCUUAGAGGGGAAUUGUUUCAAGGCUAUACAAGUGUUUGGGCACCACAUUGACUCCUUUGGGGAGUUUACGGCCCAAAGACCCUUCUCCCUUGGAGUUUACGGCCGUAAACUCCCUUGGGAGGGUUCUUAUUGUCCUUUCAAGUCUCUAACAUUUCUAGGAACAAGUCUAGGCUUCAAUACUUGGAUCAAGGGAGGUUUAUGGCAUUAAAUGGAACCAUUUGAUGGAGUUUACGGCCAUAGAACUCUUUGGGCCGUAAACUCCCUCACACAUGAGGUUCUAAGAAUUUUAACUAGCCCAAAACUCAUCUAGGUACUUGCCCUAAAAGUCUCUUGGCCUAAGGAAGUGUCUAGGGUGUCCUUUGACCCCUUUAAAGGAGUUUACGGCCCAAGAAAUACUCUUGGCCGUAAACUCUUCAACACUUGAGCUUUUCAUGAUUUUUCUAGGUCCUAAACACAUUAAGGUACUAGCCAAAAAUGAAGACUAAGCCUUAGGAAGAGUUUGAAGUGGUUUUGGCCCUAAAUCUUGGAGUUUACGGCCUAAGGAGCAUCUUGGCCGUAAACUCCCUUCCAAAGUGUGUUUCUAAAUGUUUUGUUGGUCUAAAACACUUGCUUAAGGCUUCUAGGUACUUGUUCUAAGGCUAAAGGAUCACUAGGCACUCAUUUGUGCCCUUUACUUGGAGUUUACGGCCCAAGAGGUGGUUCCUUGGCCGUAAACUCCUCAAACUACUUGCUUUUGAUUUGCUUCUAGCCUCUAAUGAUCAUACACUAAGUCCUUAGUUAGAUGCCUAACACGGAAAUGGGACUAGGUGGCCUUUAGGCUUGAUUUUGGAGUUUACUCCCCAAGAACGUUCUUGGGCGGUAAACUCCUGGAUCUAGUGUUUUGGACUUGUAAACAAUGUUAUAAAGCAUAUAAC